rnacentral:rRNA from 1 species
CCUACGGGAGGCAGCAGUGGGGAAUCUUGCGCAAUGGGCGAAAGCCUGACGCAGCCAUGCCGCGUGAAUGAUGAAGGUCUUAGGAUUGUAAAAAUUCUUUUCACCGGGGACGAUAAUGACGGUACCCCGGAGAAGAAGCCCCGGCUAACUUCGUGCCAGCAGCCGCGGUAAUACGAAGGGGGGCUAGCGUUGCUCGGAAUUACUGGGCGUAAAGGGAGCGUAGGCGGAUAGUUUAGUCAGAGGUGAAAGCCCAGGGCUCAACCUUGGAAUUGCCUUUGAUACUGGCUAUCUUGAGUAUGGGAGAGGUUAGCGGAACUCCGAGUGUAGAGGUGAAAUUCGUAGAUAUUCGGAAGAACACCAGUGGCGAAGGCGGCUAACUGGCCCAUUACUGACGCUGAGGCUCGAAAGCGUGGGGAGCAAACAGGAUUAGAUACCCUGGUAGUCCACGCCGUAAACGAUGAGUGCUAGUUGUCGGCAUGCAUGCAUGUCGGUGACGCAGCUACGACAUAAGACACUCCGCCGUCGGGAGGUACGGUCGCGAGAAUUAAACUACAAAUAGAAGUUAGUACGGACGUGUAGACGUACGCCGACGGACGACGACCGAGGGAGGUUAGG